rnacentral:tRNA from 1 species
AAAAACUUAGGUUACACCUUAAACCAAGGGCCUUCAAAGCCCUAAACAAGAGCACGCCCACCUCUUAGUUUUG